rnacentral:rRNA from 1 species
ACUGCAGUCGAGCGAACGGAUAAGGAGCUUGCUCCUUUGAAGUUAGCGGCGGACGGGUGAGUAACACGUGGGUAACCUACCUAUAAGACUGGGAUAACUUCGGGAAACCGGAGCUAAUACCGGAUAACAUUUAGAACCGCAUGGUUCUAAAGUGAAAGAUGGUUUUGCUAUCACUUAUAGAUGGACCCGCGCCGUAUUAGCUAGUUGGUAAGGUAACGGCUUACCAAGGCGACGAUACGUAGCCGACCUGAGAGGGUGAUCGGCCACACUGGAACUGAGACACGGUCCAGACUCCUACGGGAGGCAGCAGUAGGGAAUCUUCCGCAAUGGGCGAAAGCCUGACGGAGCAACGCCGCGUGAGUGAUGAAGGGUUUCGGCUCGUAAAACUCUGUUAUUAGGGAAGAACAAAUGUGUAAGUAACUGUGCACAUCUUGACGGUACCUAAUCAGAAAGCCACGGCUAACUACGUGCCAGCAGCCGCGGUAAUACGUAGGUGGCAAGCGUUAUCCGGAAUUAUUGGGCGUAAAGCGCGCGUAGGCGGUUUCUUAAGUCUGAUGUGAAAGCCCACGGCUCAACCGUGGAGGGUCAUUGGAAACUGGGAAACUUGAGUGCAGAAGAGGAAAGUGGAAUUCCAUGUGUAGCGGUGAAAUGCGCAGAGAUAUGGAGGAACACCAGUGGCGAAGGCGACUUUCUGGUCUGUAACUGACGCUGAUGUGCGAAAGCGUGGGGAUCAAACAGGAUUAGAUACCCUGGUAGUCCACGCCGUAAACGAUGAGUGCUAAGUGUUAGGGGG